rnacentral:rRNA from 1 species
GGGACACGUGGUAUCCUGUCUGAAUAUGGGGGGACCAUCCUCCAAGGCUAAAUACUCCUGACUGACCGAUAGUGAACCAGUACCGUGAGGGAAAGGCGAAAAGAACCCCGGCGAGGGGAGUGAAAAAGAACCUGAAACCGUGUACGUACAAGCAGUGGGAGCACGCUUAGGCGUGUGACUGCGUACCUUUUGUAUAAUGGGUCAGCGACUUAUAUUCUGUAGCAAGGUUAACCGAAUAGGGGAGCCGAAGGGAAACCGAGUCUUAACUGGGCGUUAAGUUGCAGGGUAUAGACCCGAAACCCGGUGAUCUAGCCAUGGGCAGGUUGAAGGUUGGGUAACACUAACUGGAGGACCGAACCGACUAAUGUUGAAAAAUUAGCGGAUGACUUGUGGCUGGGGGUGAAAGGCCAAUCAAACCGGGAGAUAGCUGGUUCUCCCCGAAAGCUAUUUAGGUAGCGCCUCGUGAAUUCAUCUCCGGGGGUAGAGCACUGUUUCGGCAAGGGGGUCAUCCCGACUUACCAACCCGAUGCAAACUGCGAAUACCGGAGAAUGUUAUCACGGGAGACACACGGCGGGUGCUAACGUCCGUCGUGAAGAGGGAAACAACCCAGACCGCCAGCUAAGGUCCCAAAGUCAUGGUUAAGUGGGAAACGAUGUGGGAAGGCCCAGACAGCCAGGAUGUUGGCUUAGAAGCAGCCAUCAUUUAAAGAAAGCGUAAUAGCUCACUGGUCGAGUCGGCCUGCGCGGAAGAUGUAACGGGGCUAAACCAUGCACCGAAGCUGCGGCAGCGACGCUUAUGCGUUGUUGGGUAGGGGAGCGUUCUGUAAGCCUGUGAAGGUGUGCUGUGAGGCAUGCUGGAGGUAUCAGAAGUGCGAAUGCUGACAUAAGUAACGAUAAAGCGGGUGAAAAGCCCGCUCGCCGGAAGACCAAGGGUUCCUGUCCAACGUUAAUCGGGGCAGGGUGAGUCGACCCCUAAGGCGAGGCCGAAAGGCGUAGUCGAUGGGAAACAGGUUAAUAUUCCUGUACUUGGUGUUACUGCGAAGGGGGGACGGAGAAGGCUAUGUUGGCCG